rnacentral:lncRNA from 1 species
GCUGGCCCCGCCAGUGGCCGAAUGGACUUCGCAGUAGCAUCCGAGAGAAUGGACCACGGCGUGCCGGGGGCACGGUUUUAUAUGCAUACUUUAUGAAAAUGAUAUUUGAAGCAUGAUCAUGAGGCUCGUUUCAGAGCCUGGGUAUAUGAGGCGGGUGCUUCCAAAUCCUGCAGAUGUGUUUUUGGGGAGAAGCAAAAUCGGUGAGGGGUGAAGGACGCUUGCGUGAAGCCCCGGAACCGGCCAACAUCUGGCAGGGGAGCCCCGUGUUUCCCCCUCAUGUGGGCCCGAUAGUCACGUGCCCUGCGCAGGCGGGCCGUGACAUUUAUGAACGUGCCUGGCCAAAGCAUACAUUGUUUUACAACGGAUUUUUGAAUAUAUCCUUAUGAAAUGUUGUAUUUUGCUAUAACCGCUAUCUCCUUUAAAUGAUGCUAAUCGCAUGAAUUCUUAUGUUUUAUGAAAAUUCUGUUUGACUGAAAAUACUGCUUUGUUUUCGAAGCAUACAUAUUUUGCCAUGAUAAAUUGUGAGAUAAUACGCAUGUCAGCUUCUCAAACUCUACAUAAACAUGGUUACCAUUAUGUUCGAUCCAGUAAGAUUAUGUAUGAUUACUUACUGAGCCGUGUAGCUCAUAUCCGUUCAUUUACUUUUUCUUUCAGAUCCUUACCACUGAUAGCUGCCAGAGACACGUUAAUCUGGUAUCAGGGCUUCUUUCUUUUGGGGUAAAGCAAGUAUACUUUUGUGUACAUAAACUACAUAGAAGCUCUGUAUUUGGGUACUGACCAGCAUGAUGUACUAAGAAUGCUUUCAUAUGAAAAGAUUCGGUUGGUUUGACUACCCUGUUACCCAGGUAUGAGGCUGCGUGCUAUUGUGGGCGGUAGUCGGCAAUAGCACGGCCGUGUCACGGAUCCGGGUCCGGGGCGUGACAGUU